rnacentral:lncRNA from 1 species
GCUUUAGUUUCUGUGACGUGCGUCUGCGGCGCGUGGAAACGCCCCGGAGCUCCAGAGGCGUCGGCGACGGCGCGGCCUGGGACGGCCAGUCGCGGGCGGGAAUCGCGGGGCUCGGGCCUCCGCACCGGCCUAGCGGGAGGGGCGCGCGGGUCUCCGCCAAGCCCACUGCGCGGAACCCGGAACAGCGUCUCCGUGGCCUGGAUUUACCGCUUUGGUUUUCACUGGCGUGCUGUCUACGCUGUCGCUGUUAGAUUCUGGCUGCGGGCGGGAGGCGCUCGGCGCUGGGCUCCGGGCGCUCAGGCCGCAGAAAUGAUUGUUCUCAGAGUUUCGUGAAAAACAAGUGAUCAGAGAAGAGCCUCCCCCCCUGCUACUUUCCCAACAGAGUCAGCUCAUCCCGCAAGUGCCACCCAGGCCAGGCCAGCGGCGCAGCUGUUCUGCGGCCAGCAUUGCACCAGCAGCUGGGAAUGGGUCACACCCUCUCCUGGGAGCGUGGUUCCUGAGGGAUUUACGGGAUCCUGAGUCUCCCUAGGAUCCUCAGCGUGGCCGUUCAGGCACAGCUGGGUCAAAAUCACCACCACCAGGGCUCAGUGACUCAGUGACUUUACCCUGGAAACCUCAGGCUUCUCUUCUUCGAGGCCGUCCUCUCCCGAGCCAGGGAACGAGCUGUGAGAAGGGGCUGCUGCAGUCCCUCCAUGCUGACCGUCUCAGCCCGAGUUCAGCCAGGAGAGGGACAGCCCUCGUCACCGUGUGACAUGUUUACUUCUAGCCGAGGAAAAUACCGCCGCUGCGGCUGCCCUUCCCUGCGCAGGCACUGGCCUGGAGACGGAUAUUUUAUGUCUUCCUUUGAUGAUUUACAAAUAAAUUAGUGCGAUCGAGAAGGUCUGCCAGCAUCUAUGCGUACGGGAAACCCAAGACGGUGAAAAAUGAUCGUGAUUUACCGUAUCCCGAUACUUCCUUCUUAAGAACCAAAUAAAUAUCAUCGGCUAGUUUAUGGAGCUGACAUAUUUAUUGCAGAAUUCCCGCCGGAGGACUUCCCAUUGUCCUGUGUUCUCACACAUUGUUUUCACAAAUUGUGGCUUGAAGGAAGGCAGGGAAAUUCAGGCUGGAGAAGCAAGAUGUUAUCUUUUGGAAAGGAUGCGCCUCUCUAACGGGACAGGAUAAUCCAUUCAGAGGCUGGAAAGCCCAGUCCUCCGGGGGUGUGAUAAAUCCACAGGAUCUGGAAUCUGGGACUGCUUUGGGACCUUGAAGUUAGCUGGGACAACUUAGCCCCGGCCCAGACAAACAGUGUAUCCUUCUCGCCGGAUAAGCGCAGACAGCUGUGCACUCCGGUUUGCCCUGUUUUCCUUACAGGCGAUUGCAUUCACGGAGGCCGAUCUCCUCACGUCCAUCAGCAGUGGGCUAGGCGCCUGAUGCCAACCUGGGCCCGUGCGGCUCUGUGAUUGGAAAUCGGUUUCCAACAGGGACGGGGCUCCUGCUCCUUGCAGGUGGGACCUGUGCAUGGAGAGCGAGGCAGAGCAGGGUCACUCGUGACUACCAGAGGACCAUGCUGUCCUCAGAAGGUCAGAGUAGGACAGCUGGCAUCGCCGGUACAGAACUCACGUCUUGAGUGGGAUCCAAGCAGCUCCUCACCCUCCCCGCUCCUAACGCGCCUGGCACCCUCUGAAGCCACCCAGGUGCCCCUAUCUGUGCAAGCGCCUUUGGCCAGGCUGCAUCGGAAGCCUGCAGCAGUGGCAGCUUUGAGGGACAGGAGAGCAGCUCGCCCCAGCUCUCCUGUUGCUAGUUGCCCGAGUUUCCCCAAGAUCACACCCACACACCCGGCCGGAGCAACCCAGCCAGGCCUGGGGAGGGAGCCGUCUUUCUGGGACAGUGUCCAGUCGUUCCGUCGUUCGUUCCGUCCCAGCCAAGCACCUGCGCGGCCGAGCUGGUUCUCAGGUGUUCACAGACUGACUGUGGCUGCUGUCGGGCCUGUCCUUGGAAAACCCCACGUCCCCCGUUCUCUGUGCUGCUCCUGGAGCUGAAAGCCGCCUCACUGAGUCUGCGGACAGCCUGAUGGGCCCCAGGACCUGCGUGUGCUGUUCCGCCUCCUCGGUCAGCAGCGAGACGCCUGCAGGGGCCGUUCUUCUGGCUUGGGAGGGACUCGAGCCGCUGCCCAAACCUUCACAGCUGCAUUUAGCAGUCGAAGGAAGGUGAUGGGAAGCCACACAGAGCCCCUCAGCACCAAGCUUUGCUGCCUGUUUGGUGCUGGUGGAGUCAACUGCACGGGCCCAAGUGUCACUGAGCUGCAGACAGCUCGGACCUCUCCAGAGAGCCCGCCAGGACGGCAGGCAUGGAAAACAGGGCUUCUCCCACCUGGCUCCCACGGGCCGAGGCGGAGGGUGCCUACCCCAGUGUGUAGCCCCCCUCGGUUUAAUGUUUCUCUGUCCACAAACAAGAAUCGUUUUCUAAACCACUGCCUCAGCUUACUUUAAAAGGUCCCAGGACAAAAGUCCUAGGUGAGCCCAGACCCCAGUCUGAGGUGUGGACUGAGAAAAAUAUUGUACAAUCAAAACAGAACAAGUGCUGGGUGAGAAACAGCAAUGAUCUGACUGAGAAAGUUAGCCAGCGUUGUUAAAGAGACUGUUACAUACGACCUUUUUCUUUCCUGUGUUUUUUGGAGACAG